rnacentral:rRNA from 1 species
CCUACGGGAGGCAGCAGUGGGGAAUAUUGGGCAAUGGAGGAAACUCUGACCCAGCGACGCCGCGUGCGGGAUGAAGGCCUUCGGGUUGUAAACCGCUUUCAGCCGGGAAGAAGCGAAAGUGACGGUACCUGCAGAAGAAGCACCGGCUAACUAUGUGCCAGCAGCCGCGGUAAUACAUAGGGUGCAAGCGUUGUCCGGAAUUAUUGGGCGUAAAGAGCUCGUAGGUGGUUCGUCACGUCGGAUGUGAAAAUCUGGGGCUUAACCCCAGACCUGCAUUCGAUACGGGCGAGCUUGAGUAUGGUAGGGGAGUCUGGAAUUCCUGGUGUAGCGGUGGAAUGCGCAGAUAUCAGGAGGAACACCAAUGGCGAAGGCAGGACUCUGGGCCAUUACUGACACUGAGGAGCGAAAGCGUGGGGAGCGAACAGGAUUAGAUGCCCUGGUAGUCCACGCCGUAAACGGUGGGCACUAGUUGUGGGGACCUUCCACGGUCUCUGCGACGCAGCUAACGCAUUAAGUGCCCCGCCUGGGGAGUACGAUCGCAAGNUUAAAACUCAAAGAGUAGUAGCGNGNGAGAGCGACGACGACGACGACGGAGGAG